UACGGAGGGUGCGAGGCGUUGUCCGGAAUCACUGGGCGUAAAGGGCGCGUGAGGUGGCGCGGGAAGUCAACGGUGAAAGCUCAGGGCUCAACCCUGAGUCGGCCGUCGAUACUCCCGGGCUCGAGCACUGUAGAGGCAGGUGGAAUUCCGGGUGUAGCGGUGGAAUGCGUAGAGAUCCGGAAGAACACCGGUGGCGAAGGCGGCCUGCUGGGCAGUUGCUGACACUGAGGCGCGACAGCGUGGGGAGCAAACAGG
rnacentral:rRNA from 1 species